UAAUUUAGUUAGAAGGGAUCUUGAU
rnacentral:piRNA from 1 species